rnacentral:sRNA from 1 species
AGCAAGACAGCGACUGGGCAACGCACCUGUGCCAAACCCUGCCAGAAGCCCAGCACGUCCAAGGUGAUCCUGAGGGCUGUGGCGGACAAGGGGACCUGCAAGUAUGUGUCCCUGGCCACCCUGAAGAAGGCUGUUUCCACCACGGGCUACGACAUGGCCCGAAAUGCCUAUCACUUCAAGUGUGUGUUCAAGGGGCUGGUGGACAAGGGCUCAGCAGGUGACCAGCAGGGGGGCCUCAGGCUCCUUCACCCUGGGCAAGAAGCAGGCCUCCAAGUCCAAGCUCAAGGUCAAGAGGCAACGACAGCAGAGGUGGCGCUCUGGGCAGCGCCCCUUUGGACAGCACAGGUCACUACUGGGCUCCAAACAGGGGCACAAGCGGCUUAUCAAGGGGGUUCGAAGGGUGGCCAAGUGCCACUGCAAUUA